rnacentral:rRNA from 1 species
CAGUCGCCACGGUAAUACAGAGGGUGCGAGCGUUAAUCGGAUUUACUGGGCGUAAAGCGUGCGUAGGCGGCUUCUUAAGUCGGAUGUGAAAUCCCUGAGCUUAACUUAGGAAUUGCAUUCGAUACUGGGAAGCUAGAGUAUGGGAGAGGAUGGUAGAAUUCCAGGUGUAGCGGUGAAAUGCGUAGAGAUCUGGAGGAAUACCGAUGGCGAAGGAAGCCAUCUGGCCUAAUACUGACGCUGAGGUACGAAAGCAUGGGGAGCAAACAGGAUUAGAUACCCCGGUAGUCCCUGUCUCUUAUAC